ensembl:lncRNA
GUGUGCAAAAGGCAUGAGGAGGUAGGCGAAUAAUUACAAUUUUGCAGAUUAACACUGGAGUGAUAAAUGAUCAGAUGGUCAUGUACAGGUAGAGAUACUGGUGUGCAAAAGAGCAGAAAAGUAAAUAAAUAAAAACAGUAUGGGGAUGAGGUAGGUAAAAAUGGGUGGGCUAUUUACCGAUAGACUAUGUACAGCUGCAGCUAUCGGUUAGCUGCUCAGAUAGCAGAUGUUUGAAGUUGGUGAGGGAGAUAAAAGUCUCCAACUUCAGCGAUUUUUGCAAUUCGUUCCAGUCACAGGCAGCAGAGAACUGGAACGAAAGGCGGCCAAAUGAGGUGUUGGCUUUAGGGAUGAUCAGUGAGAUACACCUGCUGGAGCGUAGCAGGUGAGUAGGUGUGUCCAAACUUUUGACUGAUACUGUACAUACAUACAUACAUGCCAGGUCACAGUUGUAAAUGAGAACUUGUUCUCAACUUGCCUACCUGGUUAAAUAAAGGUAAAAUAAAUACAUAUAUACAUACAUACACACUGUACAAAUACACAUACAUACAUAUACAGAUAAAUAAAUACAGAUAAAAGAAACAGAAGGCAUUGAACCCAGUCUGGCACAAAGAGAAGAUUCAUGAAGGAGACAAGCCUAUACACAAUCUAUAUAUACACGUGCCAUUUACCACAUAGAAGCUAAAUAUUUGUAUAAUUCAAUUAUAGCUAGCCCUUUUUCUUUUAUUCCAGGCUUUAAUUAUCUAAAUAUUCUGCAAACGGAUAUGCACAGUGGACAAAAAACAUUUCAGUUUCUCCUCAUCGCUCAGCCACAUAAUGCUAGGGUAUAUCUAGUGUGCUGUCUGGAAUAAGAGCGAGCGUAUAUCGUGGUAGAAUGGGCAAUAGAGGAUAAAAUUAGUUUCAUUCUCUAUUUCUUCAAGGUCACAAUAGUGGAAUAGUCUUUCCUCUUCCAUUUCACCACAAUACUGACCUGUUUCAAUACGCAGAGGCAAAAUCCCUGAUCUUACCUGUUUCAAUAUGCAGAGGCAAAAUCCCUGAUCUUACCUGUUUCAAUAUGCAGAGGCAAAAUCCCUGAUCUUACCUGUUUCAAU